UGCUGCAUGGUUGUCGUCAGCUCGUGUCGUGAGAUGUUGGGUUAAGUCCCGCAACGAGCGCAACCCCUACGUUUAGUUGCUAACAGGUGAAGCUGAGCACUCUAGACGAACUGCCGUUGACAAAACGGAGGAAGGUGGGAUGACGUCAAAUCAUCAUGCCCCUUAUGUUCUGGGCUACACACGUGCUACAAUGGCCGGUACAGACGGAGGCGAAGCCGCGAGGCGGAGCAAAUCCGAAAAAGCCGGUCUCAGUUCGGAUUGCAGGCUGCAAUUCGCCUGCAUGAAGUCGGAAUCGCUAGUAAUCGCAGGUCAGCAUACUGCGGUCGAAUACGUUCCCGGGCCUU
rnacentral:rRNA from 1 species